rnacentral:lncRNA from 1 species
GUAGUUAUGGAAAUGCUGGUUUUGGAGAUUUAUGAAGCAUAUUAGCUUAUUGAAAUCUUUGAGAAGUCCAGUAAAGCAAGUCGUUUGAACCAGUGUUUUCCUCUUUUAUUGCAUACUGCUUAUAACUUGUAUUAUUUUUUGAUGAAACAUGUUUUAGGAAGCUUUACUCUGGAUUACAAAUUCCUCAGCCAGAAGCACAAAAAAACCUGAAAUUGCUUUGAACAAAGUCCUUAGAGUUGAUUUGGAAUGAGAAGAAUUGGGUUUGAGACUUUAUGCAAUAAUUUUACAGCUAAGUAACACUGGAUAAAUCUUGAAAGGUACCAAGGAGGACUCAUCAAAUAUCAUCUGAGUGAGAUAGUCCUGAGAGCAUAGCCCAUGAAUAUAAUCCAUCUGAGACAGCGCUUAACUCCAGAAAAAGUGUUGGUGAAAAAUACAUCCUUUGGUGGGCCAGGGUCUCCAUCCAAAGUCUUGAUGUCAAGUCCUUCCACAGGCUUCAGGUCACUGUCACUCUGUUAAAUGGCCAUGGAUCUUCUGAGGGAAGGUUUGGAGGAAGAUUUGCAGCGUAUCUUUGUGUCCACCUUCCAGAGUGAUUCCUUUAAAACAACAAAACCAAACAAACAAACAAAAAAACUUGGCUCUAUCUGAAAAGGCUCUGGGUUUGUGAACUGGGUAAGAGGCCAUGAAUUCCCAAUAUAGUGCUUUUAUUUGGGCUCUGAUAACAUAGACUGAAUAAUAUUUUAGAAGGUUGACAAUCUGUUUCAUUCCUAAAAUUCUCUCACACACGAAAUUAACCGCAACCACGUAUCCAUGUAGUCAAAAGACUUGUAUUGCCAAUCUUUGUGUGUGGUUUGUUGCACUAGUGGUGACAACAUCACCCCUGAAGCUGGGCACUGCCACCUGGCCUCUACCACUCUAAGACCCCAUCGUUCUUAUUGAGAGUAGGGAGCCCGGUUCUUCAAUAGCAUCUCUAGCCACAGAAGGCAGCCAUGGCAGAACUUUUGGGGGAUACUGGUACUCACCACCAAGUAUUCCUUUCUGCUUUAGGGAAGAAAGUGUCCUUUGGUCCUUCCUGGAGGUUAUGGUAAGAGUGGCUGAAUAGUUUACAGAUAAUAGGUCCACUCCAGCGUCCCCAUCUCCCUAAGCCUUUAAUUUCUUUCCUCUUUGUUGCAGAGAAGUCCCAACAUCUCACCUCAUUACUGAAGGUCACCAUUGAGUUCAGGCUUUAAGCAAACUAAUUAGAGCUUCAGCUGAUAUGAUGUAUCUAGAAUCUUAGAUAAGCUUUCCCAUACUGAUAAAUUCUUCUUGAACCAACUUGAUAUUUUUAGUUCCUUGAUUUAAUUCCUUGAGAGUCUAUUUAUAAACAUGCUUUCUCCACUCCCAUUUCUUGACUAUAAAAUUGACAAGUUCCCAUCCACCCUUUCAUGCUCAAGCUAUCUUAUCUUUAAGAGAACUUUUCAAUUCUCCAUCUAGGCAUGGAAGCAAUGAUUGAUGGUGGGGAUUAGCCUUGACAGUAGGG